rnacentral:rRNA from 1 species
GGUAACAUCAAAUCGUACCCCAAACCGACACAGGUGGUCAGGUAGAGAAUACCAAGGCGCUUGAGAGAACUCGGGUGAAGGAACUAGGCAAAAUGGUGCCGUAACUUCGGGAGAAGGCACGCUGAUACGUAGGUGAAGUCCCUCGCGGAUGGAGCUGAAAUCAGUCGAAGAUACCAGCUGGCUGCAACUGUUUAUUAAAAACACAGCACUGUGCAAACACGAAAGUGGACGUAUACGGUGUGACGCCUGCCCGGUGCCGGAAGGUUAAUUGAUGGG